CCCGCGCAUGCGUCCGGCAAAGCCCGUCCCCGCCGCGGCCGAGGAGCGGGCGCCGCGGGGAUAAAACAGCGGUGACUCCCAACCCCGACGCAAAGCGUUCUAAAAUGUCGAGGUGGAAAGGAAAUUGAAGGGGAGAGGAGGGGUGUAAAUAACGUCUAAAAUUCCUCUUUGUUUUGAGAGGCGGGCCGAACCCCCAAGUCGCGCUCCUGACAGAAGCUAGGGCUCGAGCGCUGACAGGCGACCGUUCAUCCCGCACCUCCUUCCAACCUGCGCUGUUAUUGGCUGCACUGGAUCCGCGUGACGAGCGGGACGAUCUCCAAAUGGUUGACAUGGCUGGGCGGACGACCUGGCGAUUAAGGAUUGCUGUGAUUCUAUGACUCUAUGUUGGACUCUGACACCAGAGGGGGAGAUCCAGAGAAGCAAGCAGCAAGCUGACAUUGCCAGAUACUGUUCAAGUAAAGGAACUUUGCACCUCUCAGUGCUUUUGAAAGGGCUCAUUCACCCGUCGGCACUGGACCGGCUCUCCCCUCCGUGCUGUGCUCGCUGUCCCCAUGCUGGCUCACUCCCAUCCUCCAGAAGUACGUGCAGGGAUAACUUGCUGUCAUGACGCCCUCCGAAAUCUCAACAGCAGUAAGUAAAGUAAAAAGUAAGUAAAAGAGACGAAAAAUAAAAACAAGAAAAGAGAAAAAAGAAAAGUGGACAGUGUGGACGAGUC